ACUUCAGCCAAUGUAACAAAUACUACAUCAGUGCAAAAACCACAAACACCAGUGAAUCAAAAUCAAAAUCAACAUCAACAUAAUAGUGAACCAAAAAACGCGUGACAAGAACCCCUCUCCGCCUCCCACCACGGCUGGUCACCGAGGGAGAGCUAGACCACCACCCUCCAAGGACACCCACUCAAUCAACAAGAGCGAGCACAUCCCUUCUUCAAGGUAUAUGCCCCAACUGAAAAAGCCACAGAUGAACAAGUGAAGAUUUUCUAUGAAAUAGUUGAAAGAGCAUACCAACAGGCAGAUAAAAACGUCAUAAUAAUGGGCGAUUUCAAUGCUAAGGUCGGACAGCCGAAACCAGAAGAGCAUAGGAUCACAGGUAAACAUGGUUACGGCUCGCGAAACCAGCGAGGUGAACUAUUGAUAAAUUACUGCCUUGAGAAAAACCUAGCCAUCAUGAACACAUAUUUCAUGAAAAAAUCUAAUCGAAAAUGGACAUGGAUCGCACCAAAUGGAAGGACGAAAAACGAGGUUGACUUUAUUCUCACAAACCAAAAACAAAGUAUAACCAAUAUUGAAAUUAUUAACAAAAUUGAAUUUUCGUCAGACCAUAGACUAGUGCGAGCAACAUGGUUACUCAAACAGCCGAAAAAAAGCCGAAUCAACUUCAGAAAUAAGACCACAAAAAGCUUGCAGACAGAUAUUGAAAAAGAUGAUUUCUUGAAACGCCUCGAAGAAGAAAGACAACCACUUAUGACUUUGGCGCCAGACGAAUUAACACAAUUAUAUCAUGACAGGCUAAUCAAUUGCAUCCAGACAAGUUUGAAGCAUUCACAAAAGAAUAACCACAACACACAGAAAAGCAUAUUAUCUGACACCACAAAGCAACUAAUAACAAAGAGAACGGAACUCCAAAAUAUAAGACCCAAAACAAAAGAAAUUAAAUCAAAGUUGAGUGACCUUUACAAAAAAGUAAGCAAAAGUAUAAAAGAAGACUAUAAAAAGCACAGAGAGUCCAAAAUUGAAAACCAUAUCUACGCUGACGGAAGCGUGAAAAAAGCCUACAAAGAACUCAGAACACAUAAAAACUGGAUCCCCAAGUUGCAAAUUUCAGACAACAAUACUGCACUAUCUCGAAAUCAGAUACUUGAAACUGCUACAACGUAUUACAGGAAGUUAUACAGUAGUCAAGAGCAAGAACCACCAAAAACAGACCUUCCAAGCACAAGUGAAGUCCCAGCAAUAGAUGAAAUAGUUAUAAUGAGACAUAUUAAAAACUUAAAAACUGGAAAGAGUCCUGGGCCGGAUAACAUUACAAAUGAAAUAUUAAAAACUGCUGCUUCCUUAUUAGUGACACCCUUGGCACAUUUAUUUAAUCUCAUUCUAAAAACAGGAACAGCACCCAAACAAUGGACGCAGUCAAAUAUAAUACUUUUGUAUAAAAAAGGAAACCCAAUGGACAUAGGAAACUACAGGCCCAUCAGUCUACUGUCAUGCACAUACAAAUUAUUUUCUUCAAUCAUACUAUCCCGAAUAAGCGAAGCAAUUGACAUGUGCCAACCAUGCGAACAAGCUGGAUUUAGGAGCGGAUACUCAACCAUGGACCAUAUCCACACACUGGAGCAGGUAAUAGAAAAAUAUCAAGAAUACCGAAGACCGUUGUAUACAGCAUUCAUUGAUUACGCUAAAGCGUUCGACACUAUAUCACAUUCCUCUAUAUGGGACGCUCUGAACCAGUGCAAUGUACAUCCUACAUACAUAAGAAUAAUAAGACACAUUUAUGAAAAUUGCACCAGUAGAGUUCAACUAGACAGACUAGGACCAGACAUACCAAUUGACAGAGGCGUCAGGCAGGGCGACCCGCUGUCUCCAAAAUUAUUCUUAGCGGUACUUGAAUCAGUAAUCAAAAGUCUCAACUGGAACAAUAUAGGAUUAUACAUCAAUGGUAAAUAUCUGAACCAUCUGCGUUUCGCGGACGAUAUCAUAUUAAUGUCAGAACAUUGCUCCCAGAUAGAAUACAUGAUACAUACUCUACAUGAAUCUAGCGCAAAAGUCGGCCUGAGAAUGAACUUUCUAAAAACAAAACUUAUGACCAAUAGCACUCAAAAGGACAUAACCGUCGAUGGGACGCUACUAGAGUAUGUAGACAGCUAUAUUUACCUGGGUAAGCAGAUAUCAUUUAGUAGUCAACGAAACGAAGAGGAAGUAGACCGACGAGUAAAAAUAGCUUGGAAUAAAUACUGGAGCCUAAAGGAAAUCCUGAAAAGUAAUAUGAAUAUUAAAAUCAAGAAAAAAGUUAUGGAUAUAUGUAUUUUACCUUCACUGACUUAUGCAAGUCAAACCUGGCUGUUCACUGCAAAAAUUAAAUCAAAAAUAACUACAUGCCAACGAGCAAUGGAGAGAAGCUUGCUAAACAUAAAAAGAGUUCAAAAAAUACCACAUAUAAAUAUAAGAGCUGUAACAAAACUAAUAGACGCUCUCGAACACGCCAAAACACAAAAAUGGAGAUGGGCUGGACAUGUUGCCAGGCUGUCAGACUCGCGCUGGACCUUGAAAGCUACCACCUGGAAAGGACCUGCAGGCAAACGACGCUCCGGGAAACCAAACAGCCGUUGGACUGAUGACAUAAAUAAAACAGCUGGUAUAAACUGGAAAUAUAUAGCUACAAACAGGGAUAGAUGGAAGUCCUUGGAGGAGGCCUUCACCCGAUGAGGGGUUCUUGUCCACCACAUAUAAUACUUUGUAUAUUUGUAA